CACAAAGCUUUACUCAAAGCUACAAAAGAAACAAUAAAAAAAGUGG
rfam:Salmo salar isolate Sally breed double haploid chromosome ssa29, whole genome shotgun sequence.